AGUGGCGAACGGGUGAGUAACACGUGGGUAACCUGCCCAUCAGAAGGGGAUAACACUUGGAAACAGGUGCUAAUACCGUAUAACAAUCGAAACCGCAUGGUUUUGAUUUGAAAGGCGCUUUCGGGUGUCGCUGAUGGAUGGACCCGCGGUGCAUUAGCUAGUUGGUGAGGUAACGGCUCACCAAGGCCACGAUGCAUAGCCGACCUGAGAGGGUGAUCGGCCACAUUGGGACUGAGACACGGCCCAAACUCCUACGGGAGGCAGCAGUAGGGAAUCUUCGGCAAUGGACGAAAGUCUGACCGAGCAACGCCGCGUGAGUGAAGAAGGUUUUCGGAUCGUAAAACUCUGUUGUUAGAGAAGAACAAGGAUGAGAGUAACUGUUCAUCCCUUGACGGUAUCUAACCAGAAAGCCACGGCUAACUACGUGCCAGCAGCCGCGGUAAUACGUAGGUGGCAAGCGUUGUCCGGAUUUAUUGGGCGUAAAGCGAGCGCAGGCGGUUUCUUAAGUCUGAUGUGAAAGCCCCCGGCUCAACCGGGGAGGGUCAUUGGAAACUGGGAGACUUGAGUGCAGAAGAGGAGAGUGGAAUUCCAUGUGUAGCGGUGAAAUGCGUAGAUAUAUGGAGGAACACCAGUGGCGAAGGCGACUCUCUGGUCUGUAACUGACGCUGAGGCUCGAAAGCGUGGGGAGCAAACAGGAUUAGAUACCCUGGUAGUCCACGCCGUAAACGAUGAGUGCUAAGUGUUGGAGGGUUUCCGCCCUUCAGUGCUGCAGCUAACGCAUUAAGCACUCCGCCUGGGGAGUACGACCGCAAGGUUGAAACUCAAAGGAAUUGACGGGGGCCCGCACAAGCGGUGGAGCAUGUGGUUUAAUUCGAAGCAACGCGAAGAACCUUACCAGGUCUUGACAUCCUUUGACCACUCUAGAGAUAGAGCUUCCCCUUCGGGGGCAAAGUGACAGGUGGUGCAUGGUUGUCGUCAGCUCGUGUCGUGAGAUGUUGGGUUAAGUCCCGCAACGAGCGCAACCCUUAUUGUUAGUUGCCAUCAUUUAGUUGGGCACUCUAGCAAGACUGCCGGUGACAAACCGGAGGAAGGUGGGGAUGACGUCAAAUCAUCAUGCCCCUUAUGACCUGGGCUACACACGUGCUACAAUGGGAAGUACAACGAGUCGCGAAGUCGCGAGGCUAAGCUAAUCUCUUAAAGCUUCUCUCAGUUCGGAUUGUAGGCUGCAACUCGCCUACAUGAAGCCGGAAUCGCUAGUAAUCGCGGAUCAGCACGCCGCGGUGAAUACGUUCCCGGGCCUUGUACACACCGCCCGUCACACCACGAAAGUUUGUAACACCCGAAGUCGGUGAGGUAACCUUU
rnacentral:rRNA from 1 species